AACGAACGCUGGCGGCAUGCCUAACACAUGCAAGUCGAACGAGACCUUCGGGUCUAGUGGCGCACGGCUGCGGAACGCGGGGGAACCUGCCCUUAGGUUCGGAAUAACUCCCCGUAAGGGGUGCUAAUACCGGAUAAUGUCUUCGGACCAACGAUUUAUCGCCUUUGGAUGGGCCCGCGUUGGUUUAGCUAGUUGGUAGGGUAAAAGCCUACCAAGGCGACGAUCCAUAGCUGGUCGGGGAGGAUGAUCAGCUACACUGGGACUGAGACACGGCCCAGACUCCUACGGGAGGGAGCAGUGGGGAACAUUGGACAAGGGGCGAAAGCCUGAUCAAGCAAUGCCGCGUGAGUGAUGAAGGCCUUAGGGUUGUAAAGCUCUUUUACCCGGGAUGAUAAUGACAGUACCGGGAGAAUAAGCUCCGGCUAACUCCGUG
rnacentral:rRNA from 1 species